AUGAAGGGAUAAUUGUUAUUAUGAGUCGGAUGUCCUGUUUAUCUAGUGAAGGAAGUCGAAAUAUGUGAUAUGGCCUAGACGUUGCCGCGUUUUCCCGCCAAAUUUACCUUAGCAACAAGUAGCCCCGCCCCUUGCAGCAUCUAUAAUUAAUGAAAGAGUAUGAUUAUACCAGAAGGUUGAGUUUGAGACAAUCACUGAUAUGAAGAUAUACAUUGACAAUAAGAAUGAAAUUUAAAUAUGCAUUGACUAAUUCUGGAUAAUAGCUCAUUUGCACAAGUGUUUCCAUCCUUGAAGUUGAUUGGCUCACGCACGAGCAGCGCUUUGUUCUGAUUGGUCCACGUGUACUCUGCAUUAUGAUUGGCUGCGAAAGCCUGUGUUAGGCGCCAUUACCACUUGGAGGAGGUUUUUUUUGUUGACGGACACGCUCAUAGAAAUUGCAUUUGUGCAGUGACAUUCUUAUUAACGCCAGUAUUUCUGGGAAGAGCUGGCAGUUAAAGUGUUAAAGAACUGUUUGAGUCAUAGUGAUAACCCCAAAGACUUCAGUGUAGUCUGGGAAAGAGCACUGGAGUUGGGCUUGUCACCUUGCAGAGUGAUUUCUACCUUCACAUGGUCUUCGCAUUGAUGCAAGGGUGCAGGCUGGCUACCUGUCAUGAGAUGGUGUACCUGUCGUGACGUGACGUGCCUGUGGUGAUGAGGUGGUGAUGUGAAGCGUCAGUGCUACCUGCUUUGGGAUACGAUCUCGAAUGUCUUCAGGAAAGGAUUAAACCGUGUGCAAGAAUCCAAGAGAUUAU